CAUGUAUCCAUCCAAAACAGCACACGCCUACAGGGACCGUUUUUCCGCAACGACAAGGGAAGAACGUAAUCGCAGUUGCUUGGUUAGAUAUUCAACAAAAGCUCCAUUAUCGUGAGCAAACCAUACAUGCUUGAACCUGUAUCGUCGUUCUUCCCUCUCAUAAGAAAACAAAAUUCUACUUGGAACAACUUGAUACACACAGACUAUUCAUUAUAUCUCUGGCAGUAACCACGAGGAGCUGCAUCCGCAAUUUCCAACGACUACCUACUAAAAAGCGAGACGAAGCAAGAAAAACAUUCCACGC
rnacentral:misc_RNA from 1 species